UACGAAGGGGGCUAGCGUUGCUCGGAAUCACUGGGCGUAAAGCGCACGUAGGCGGCUUUCUAAGUCAGGGGUGAAAUCCUGGAGCUCAACUCCAGAACUGCCUUUGAUACUGGAGAGCUUGAGUCCGGAAGAGGUGAGUGGAACUGCGAGUGUAGAGGUGAAAUUCGUAGAUAUUCGCAAGAACACCAGUGGCGAAGGCGGCUCACUGGCCCGAUACUGACGCUGAGGUGCGAAAGCGUGGGGAGCAAACAGG
rnacentral:rRNA from 1 species